CCCUUAGGAGCGCCGGAGCCAGCGGGAGGCGCUGCUGUGGGAGGUCGCGUUUGUCGGUUGUAGUGAAGCUGGACUAACCAUGUUGAGUUGUGCUUUCAAAGAAUGCGUCUUAUCCUUCGGUGUACAAGGAACUCGAAUAUAUACACUACCGUUAGGCUUUAUAACUUCCCCCUCCCUCCCCCCCCUUCCCCUCCCUCAGGAGCGCCGGGGGUCACGAGCCGGUGCGAGGCGCUGCUGAGAGAAGUUGUAUUUGCUGGUUGUAGUGAAGCCGGAAUAACCUUGUGGAAUUUUAAACUUCUUUUCAGAAGUUCCCUCUAAGCCUUCAGUGUACAAGGAACCUGAGUAUCUAUACUAUCGUUAGUGUUAUAACUUCUCGCACUUCCCGCCGCCCCCCUUAGGCGCUUUCAGGCGCAAAGAAAAACUAAAGAGGGUCGUUGAAAGCCUCAGUUCCCAAGAUGUAUUUCUGUGGCGAUUUGAACAAAACCAGCCCUGUAGUGCUUCCGCUUCUUCCCCGUUCAUUUUUCCCAACUCGCGACCGAGGGGAAGGUGUUUCUAGACCGCAGCGAAAUGAUGACUGUGAAAAUUUUUGCUGCUUCCCAAAGCAAAAUUUUAUGAGCUCCAGUUUUAUCAGUGUUCCAUGCUCUUCCUUCAGCACUUUGUCUAUCUUAUGUGGAGCUGCAGGAGUGCCCAUGAAGGGAACAUUUCUUUGGUGACAUUCCUGCACUUUGGGAGUGUUGAGCUGCAGGUAACAACUUCAAAAUAACACUGUCAGCUACUUGGGGGUAUUUCUUGCCCAAAUAAGUGUCAUAUAUAAAGUCAGUGGCUUAAGACUUCUAGUAUUUAGCUUAAAAUGUUUAGAGACGUUAAGCAAAUUCUUUAUUUGCUUUUUGGCGAUUUGGUGGUCGUAACAGUCCUGUUUCCAUUACAUUUUUGCUCAUAUUUUGGAGCAGCAGUAUAUGCAGUCAUUGAAGAUUGAAAUAAUGCUUAUCUUCCAAAUUAUUUGGCAUUUCUUAAUGUGCAUGAGAAAUGACUUCAUUUCCUACAAUGGAACAGAUCUUGGCAGGUUUGGUGUAUUAGGUAUCUGUAACUAUUGCAUCUUGACUACACUGACAUAGGGCCAAAGACGAUUGUGUUAUUUAAUUAAAUGCAAUAUGUUGGUUAUAACGACAUUAUUAUUUUUCUUGAGUAUUUAAAUGUGUUUUGAAUGUUUUUGUUUUCAGAAAGUAGCAUUCUUUUCAAUACAUGUAAGUGUAAAUAUUUAUUAACAUCUACUGUUUACUCUAAUAUAUAAAGGUAACAACCCAAACACACCCAGCUUCUUAUAUUUUCUGCAAUAAUACUCUGUUUUAUAAUCGUUACCUUAGUUCUCUGGUGGUAUAUGUGGUCAGACUAGAACUACGUUUACUUGAACCUUUAUUGUCUCAUUCUUUGUGUCAGUGUCUGAAGCAAAUUACCCGCUGUUCAAAGAUAUUGAGAGAUGAAUCUUAGCAGCACAAGUUCCCUGAGAUUUCUGCAACAAUUAAAUACUUUGACAACAGUCCAGAUCCCGUGCUCAGAAAUCAGCUCUCUAGAGGCAGUGAAAUGAGAAGGGUCCUUUACCAUAAGUGAGUUUUAAAGGUGGGGAAAUCCAUUCCUGCUAUCUCUUUUUUCCUGUUUUUUUUUCCUCCGUUCAUUCUGAAACCAUGACCUGGUGAAUGUCACUAGGCGUAAUCCACUGAUGCCGUGGGAGGUGGGAACAGGGAGCUGGACAGUUCGGUGGGGCUCAGGACCCCGAGUCGCUCUGGGCUGAGCCCCCGCUGCCGUCAAACUGUGCGAUUUUCUUCUUGAGCAGCUUCCUUUCCUUUGCCGCCGGUUCUGGAACCAUAUCUUCACCUGGGGCAUAGAAACGGUAUUGGAUUAGUGCAAAGGGCUGGGUACCUUUUACAGCAAUUAGAACAGUGAAAAUGGAGAGAAGGUAAAAACACUAGGAAAAAACUCCCAAAACCUGAAGCAAGGAAUGAACAAACACAAAGCCGCAAAACACCCUCCCAUGCACAAAAUUACCCCCCCUCGCCCUGCUAUCAAAAACCCACAAACCUAACCACUGAAUCAUGCAGUGAAAACUUUUGGCUUUCCUCUGUGUUCAUUUUCUGCAUUAUAACCAAUAGAAGAUUACUUUCUGUUCUUGGGCCUGGUGUGAAGGGAACAUGCUGUUUAUAUGUGGGAACACAGGGAUCAACACACUCCUCGAGACUCAGAGACUCCCCGAGUUCAUCAUCCCAGCUUUGCCAGUGGCUGUGUCACACUGUAGAAGAUGCAAUUAGGGAAUAUUUUGACGAUUUCUUUAUUAUCUGUGUUACAGAUAAUCAAAGCCAAGUACUGAGGGUUCUUUUUCUUCACUUAUGUUGUGAGUGAUUUUUGUGUGUGCAUAUAUCUUAUGUGUUUUUUAAAG